UACGUAGGGGGCAAGCGUUGUCCGGAUUUAUUGGGCGUAAAGAGCGUGUAGGCGGCCAGACAGGUCAGCUGUGAAAACUCGAGGCUCAACCUCGAGACGUCGGUUGAAACCGUCUGGCUAGAGUCCGGAAGAGGAGAGUGGAAUUCCCGGUGUAGCGGUGAAAUGCGCAGAUAUCGGGAAGAACACCCGUGGCGAAGGCGGCUUCCUGGCCUGUUCUUGACGCUGAGGCGCGAAAGCUAGGGGAGCAAACGGG
rnacentral:rRNA from 1 species